rnacentral:tRNA from 1 species
GUUUUUAUAAUUUAAAAAAAAUAUUAGUCUUGUAAACUAAAAAUAAGAACAAACUUUAAAAACA